rnacentral:rRNA from 1 species
CAAAGGAAUUGACGGGGCCCGCACAAGCGGAGGAGCAUGUGGUUUAAUUCGAUGAUACGCGAGGAACCUUACCUGGGCUCGAACGUAAGAUGACUGUAGGUGAAAGCUUACAUCUCUUCGGAGCAUCUUACGAGGUGCUGCAUGGUUGUCGUCAGCUCGUGCCGUGAGGUGUCGGGUUAAGUCCCAUAACGAGCGCAACCCCUACCUUUAGUUGCCAUCAGGUUAAGCUGGGGACUCUAAAGGAACUGCCUACGCAAGUAGUGAGGAAGGCGGGGAUGACGUCAAAUCAGCACGGCCCUUACGUCCAGGGCUACACACGUGCUACAAUGGCCGAUACAGAGGGCAGCUACCUGGUGACAGGAUGCAAAUCUCCAAAGUCGGUCUCAGUUCGGAUCGGAGUCUGCAACCCGACUCCGUGAAGUUGGAUUCGCUAGUAAUCGCGCAUCAGCCAUGGCGCGGUGAAUACGUUCCCGGGCCUU